rnacentral:rRNA from 1 species
CGGGUGGUAAUGCCGGAUGUUCCACAUGAUCGCAUGUGAUUGUGGGAAAGAUUUCAUCGGCGUGGGAUGGGGUCGCGUCCUAUCAGCUUGUUGGUGAGGUAACGGCUCACCAAGGCUUCGACGGGUAGCCGGCCUGAGAGGGCGACCGGCCACAUUGGGACUGAGAUACGGCCCAGACUCCUACGGGAGGCAGCAGUGGGGAAUAUUGCACAAUGGGCGCAAGCCUGAUGCAGCGACGCCGCGUGAGGGAUGGAGGCCUUCGGGUUGUAAACCUCUUUUGUUUGGGAGCAAGCCUUCGGGUGAGUGUACCUUUCGAAUAAGCGCCGGCUAACUACGUGCCAGCAGCCGCGGUAAUACGUAGGGCGCAAGCGUUAUCCGGAUUUAUUGGGCGUAAAGGGCUCGUAGGCGGCUCGUCGCGUCCGGUGUGAAAGUCCAUCGCUUAACGGUGGAUCUGCGCCGGGUACGGGCGGGCUGGAGUGCGGUAGGGGAGACUGGAAUUCCCGGUGUAACGGUGGAAUGUGUAGAUAUCGGAA